rnacentral:lncRNA from 2 species
UAUAUGCGAGAUGCGAAGUACUCACCGCCUGCAACGCAGCUCGUGGGGUUGUGGACGCCGUUGGGGCAUUUGCACGAGAACCCCAUGCCGUCGUUGCUGUACUCGCAUUGCCCGCCGCUCGCCGAGCACUUCUGGCAAUCACCCGGCACCAGCAUCCACUCGAGCAGAAGCCCUCGCCUCAUGCUCGCGACGGCAUACGGCGGAACCCCUGCGGCGGCGGCUUCGUGGUGCAGUUGUGGACGAAGACGAGCUCCUUGUUGGCCCUGCUGAUGAGGAAUGGCCCCAUGACGAAGCCGAUGGAGAUGUUGAACCACGGCACCGGGCAGCCGCUCUCCAGCGGGAGGCUCCUGUCGACGACGACGACGGAGGAGUUGCCGGUCUGGAAGAAGCUGUGUGCCACGAACGCUUCGCUUCCCCUGCACUGGAGCUGGAACGUCGGCGGCCCUCACGGCGGCCGGCCUGGCUCGUCCAGCCAGAACGGGGGAUU